GUGCCAGCAGCCGCGGUAAUACGUAGGUGGCAAGCGUUGUCCGGAUUUAUUGGGUUUAAAGGGUGCGUAGGCGGUUUUAUAAGUCAGUGGUGAAAUACAACAGCUUAACUGUUGAGGUGCCAUUGAUACUGUAAGACUUGAGUACAGACGAGGUAGGCGGAAUUGACGGUGUAGCGGUGAAAUGCUUAGAUAUCGUCAAGAACACCGAUAGCGAAGGCAGCUUACUAGACUGUAACUGACGCUGAGGCACGAAAGUGUGGGGAUCAAACAGGAUUAGAAACCCCAGUAGUCC
rnacentral:rRNA from 1 species